UUUUAAAUAAUUUAAAAUAUAUUUUUUUUAUUUAUGAGUUGUAAUAAACUUUGACAUAAAGAGAUAAAAAGUAUCCUAUGUCCUUACCCUGGUUAUAAGCUACCUCUCCACCAAUUUUCAGCCAAAUCGGUUCAGCCGUUCUUGAGUUAUAAAUGGUGUAACUAACAACUUUCUUUUAUAUACAUAUAUAGAUGUCAGGUUUUUUUUAUUGUUUUUUUUUUUGAAGAAAUUAAAUAUUCAAAUGAUUCUUAUACUAUGUUCGGACCAACAUUGAAAACAUUUUGAAAACACAUUUUUGUGUUGUGGAACGUAAGUCGUUCGGACCGACAAUUUGUGUUUUCGCUGAGUUUUCACUGACAGCUCACAAAUUUUUUUGUUUGUUUACAUUUGAGCAACGAGAAUGAAUUCUGAGAAAAAGAUGUUAAUUGCGAAAGCAUUGGUUUUAAGAAGCCAAAUAAAUAUCCUGCUCAUCGACAAUUCUUCAAGAGAACUAUUGGAAUGUCUUACUACUCAGCACCAUGCCUUGGCAAAAAAGAUAGCCGAGUUAAAGAAACAACAUCUAAUCGUAUUAGAUUUAAAAAAGGACCUUGGGAUGCCGAUUAAUUCAUGUUGGACAAAACAAUGUAAGAAUCAGUUUUGGGAACACGAUUGCCAACGAAACGGAUCUGCUUUUUUUAAAGAGAACUUUCGCAUGAACCGAAGUUCCUUUGAUAAAUUAUGUGACAUCCUCCGCCCGUUACAAAAAAUGGAUACAAAUUACCGAAAAGCUAUUCCUAUCGAGAAAAGAGUGGCUAUAACAUUUUUUGCUUUAGGGUCAUCUGCAGAGUAUCGUAGUAUCGCCAACAUGUUCGGUGUAGGAAAAUCUACGGUUUGCGAAAUUUUACUGGAAUUUUGCACUGAAAUCUGGAGAUUACUGCAGCCAUCCUGUUUUAAAAUGUUGCCUCUAAACAGAGAAAAUAUAAUCGAAUUGGUGACUGGUUUCGAGGUAAUUGGAUUCCCAAAAUGCUUAGGAGCAAUUGACGGAUGCCACAUUGAGAUUCAUCCAUAAUCUGACGGAGCUGUUGAUUAUUAUAAUUAUAAAGGAUGGUAUUCCACCGUUUUAAUGCCAUUAGUUGAUGCUAAAAACCGUUUUACUUACAUAAACGUAGGAAGUCCCGGGCGAUGUAAUGACUCUCAAAUUUAUGAGACGUCAUCACUUAAAAAAGAAAUGGAUAGUUGUCCUUUACUAAGCGAAAUGUCUAGAGAAAUUUCAGGCGUAAAUGUGCCAGUAUUCAUUAUUGGGGAUUCGGCUUUUCGAUUUAGCAAACAACUAAUGAAACCGCAAUCAUUUAGCGUAAAUCAAAAUAAUGGUGAGAAGGUAUUCAACUACGCUCUUUCGAAAACACGUAGAGUUGUCGAAAAUGCUUUCGGACACCUCAAGGCCCGCUUUCGACGCAUCGGAAAAGGAAUUGACAACUCUGUAUGGAACUCCAUAAUAAAAGCAUGUUGCGUCCUUCACAAUUUUUUAAAUGAUAACAACGACUCGCUAAACGCUAAAUGGUUACGCGCUUUGGAAGAGUUGGAGACUAGACGCCAGAAUCCGGAGAAUUCCAGAGAAUCCAGAAUUAAUGGAGAAAUGAUUCGGACAGCACUUUGAACAAAUUGUGCAUCACCCGGCUCCGGAGACGGUACUGGUAGCGAAGAAGUAUCGCUUGGCGACAUCGGCAUAGCUGAGGGCGAUGGUAGGCAAACCGGUGAUGACAAUGGAGAUGCAGCAACGAAUGUAGAAAACGCAGCCGUUUCCACCGAAAUUUGGAGUGGUUCAGAGUUAGUAGAACCUUUUUAAAAAUGUAUAUAUCUCUCGGCGUUGUAGCUGACGUACGGCAACAGUAUGGCUCUCAUUUUAUCAUAAAGUGGCCACUGCGAGGGAGAAUCGCCAGUUGACCCGACUGCUGUCUUCUCUUUCCUGUAAAACAUGAUAUAUAUAUGUAA